UACGUAGGUGGCAAGCGUUGUCCGGAUUAUUGGGUUUAAAGGGUGCGUAGGCGGUUUUCUAAGUCAGCAGUGAAAUACGGCAGCUCAACUGUCGAGGUGCUGUUGAUACUGGGGAACUUGAGUACUGAUGAGGUAGGCGGAAUGGACGGUGUAGCGGUGAAAUGCUUAGAGAUCGUCCAGAACACCGAUAGCGAAGGCAGCUUACUAAGGAGUAACUGACGCUGAGGCACGAAAGUGUGGGGAUCAAACAGG
rnacentral:rRNA from 1 species